GAGAUCACCAUAGUGACUUACAAGCAACUCACUUUACUUUGAUGUCGAACUAUCUAAAUUUUUAAUUCAGAGAUGAAAGAUUUUUGGGUGUAGUCAAGUAAUUGUCAAGUCGGUGUGUGAAUCAAGAUAGGAUUGAUCUUUCUGAAUAAGUAGGAGUUAAUGCAUCAGUGUAUUUCAAUUUAGUAAAAUCUGAUUCAGAUAAUCCAUGUGA
rnacentral:lncRNA from 1 species